rnacentral:rRNA from 1 species
CAGCAGCCACGGUAAUACGAAGGGUGUAAGCGUUAAUCGGAAUUACUGGGCGUAAAGCGUGCGCAGGCGGCUAUAUAAGUCAGAUGUGAAAUCCCCGGGCUCAACCUGGGACCUGCAUUUGUGACUGUAUAGCUAGAGUACGGUAGAGGGGGAUGGAAUUCCGCGUGUAGCAGUGAAAUUCGUAGAUAUGCGGAGGAACACCGAUGGCGAAGGCAAUCCCCUGGACCUGUACUGACGCUCAUGUACGAAAGCGUGGGGAGCAAACAGGAUUAGAUACCCGUGUAGUCCCUGUCUCUUAUAC